rnacentral:lncRNA from 1 species
CUGUCUCUGUCAGUACUGACCUUUCUGAUCAGAGUAAAUGGUGAGGAAACUGAGGCAAAUAAGGUGGUCACACAGCUAGCAAAUAUCUGAGGCCAGGUUUGAAUCCAGGAAGUGCUAUGUGACUGAGUUACCCUGAUUGGAGAGGGACAGCCCAGGUCCAGCUCUUUCUGUGAAACCUUUCAAAGUCUCCGGGAAGCUAGCUGCCAGAUACCCUUGUGCCCUGCAGUGCCACAAGCACCCACUGUCACCAGAGAGAAGAACCCUAGGGAUACAGGACCUUAAAUCAUGUGGGGACAAAGGAGACUGAAUAUCCUUUUCCAACUGAUCGUGAUAGAUCUAUGCCUUGGAUCAGCAUGCUUACUAAGUCAAAAGUUAUCGAGAAUGAAGAUGGAGGAAAAUGAGGAAAAUUUGACAUACACUCUCAGUCACCUGAAGUUUACACUGAAAGUCUCAAGGUGAUACUCCCCGGCACUGUUGGUGGACUGGGUUCAGCUUCCUGGAAACUAUGACAUAGGGUCCAGCUUUCAGAAUUCCAGUGGCUGCUCCAGCCUUUGAAUCUGUGGCCUCGGGCA